AUUGAACGCUGGCGGCAUGCCUUACACAUGCAAGUCGAACGGUAACGGGCCUUCGGGUGCCGACGAGUGGCGAACGGGUGAGUAAUGCAUCGGAACGUACCUUUCAGUGGGGGAUAACGUAGCGAAAGUUACGCUAAUACCGCAUAUUCUGUGAGCAGGAAAGCAGGGGAUCGCAAGACCUUGCGCUGAUUGAGCGGCCGAUGUCAGAUUAGGUAGUUGGUGGGGUAAAAGCCUACCAAGCCGACGAUCUGUAGCUGGUCUGAGAGGACGACCAGCCACACUGGGACUGAGACACGGCCCAGACUCCUACGGGAGGCAGCAGUGGGGAAUUUUGGACAAUGGGCGCAAGCCUGAUCCAGCCAUUCCGCGUGAGUGAAGAAGGCCUUCGGGUUGGUAAAGACGUCUUUCUAGCAGGAACGAAACGGUAGGCCGACUAAUACUAGGCGUACUAAUAGACGGUACCU
rnacentral:rRNA from 1 species